AUUUAUAUAGUUUAUAAAAACAUUACACUUUCACUGUAAAAAUAAAAUAUUAAUUUUUAUAAAUU
rnacentral:tRNA from 1 species